UAACCUUCGGGAGGACGGUCACCACUUUGUGUUUCAUGACUGGGGUGAAGUCGUAACAAGGUAACCCUAGGGGAACCUGGGGUUGGAUCACCUCCUUAUCUUGAAG
rnacentral:rRNA from 6 species